rnacentral:rRNA from 1 species
CCCUUAGAUGUUCUGGGCUGCACGCGCGCUACACUGAUGCGCUCAACGAGUUUACGAACUUGCCCGGAAGGGUUGGUUAAUCUUUUUAAAACGCAUCGUGAUGGGGAUAGAUUAUUGCAAUUAUUAAUCUUCAACGAGGAAUUCCUAGUAAGCGCGAGUCAUCAGCUCGUGCUGAUUACGUCCCUGCCCUUUGUACACACCGCCCGCCGCUCCUACCGAUUGAGUGAUCCGGUGAAUAAUUCGGACUGCAGUCGUGUUCAGUUCCUGAACGUGGCAGCGGAAAGUUUAGUGAACCUUAUCACUUAGAGGAAGGAGAANUCGUAACA